rnacentral:rRNA from 1 species
AGGGAUGAGCCCAGCACUGAAGCCCACGAUCGGAAACGGUCGUCGGGCAAUGUAGUGUUUGGGAGAGCCCGUUUAACCUAAGUAUUUAUAAACGUGUAUAAGUCCUUCUUGAAGGGGGCCAUUCGCCCAUAGAGGGUGCCAGGCCUGUAGAAACCGUUUGUAUACUUUGGUGGGUUUCUCCUUAGAGUCGGGUUGCUUGAGAGUGCAGCUCUAAGUGGGUGGUAAACUCCAUCUAAGGCUAAAUAUGACUGCGAAACCGAUAGCGAACAAGUACAGUGAGGGAAAGUUGAAAAGAACUUUGAAGAGAGAGUUCAAGAGUACGUGAAACUGUUCAGGGGUAAACCUGUGGUUCCCGAAUAUUCAAUAGAGGAGAUUCAAUUGCCUCACCGGUUAUGACCAUUUAACAGUGUUAUGGGAUUUAUUUUGUAUGUGUGACAUUAUAUUUGCUUAAUAGAUUUCUAUCUAUUUAUGUAUUUUAUGGUGCACCACUGUUUUAUGUUAAAGUUUAUAAUCGGAGGCGUGCACUUCUCCUCUAGUAGAACGUCAUGACCCAUUGGGUAUUUUGUCUAAGGCUCAUAUAGGCAGACCAUGGUGGCAUGUAUAUAUUAUAUUUAUUUAUGGUGUAUCUUGUGCAUUCAUGUGACUUAUGAUGUCCCGACAUUAUCCUGAUGGUAUAAUUGUGAUGAUGGAUCGCUAUAUAUAUAUUUAUUUAUAUAUAUGGUGAGCGUUCAGACCUAUGACAAAUGCUUAUAUGUAUAUUAUUAUUGUAUUUAUUGUGGAAAUUGGACUAUGUGCCGAUUCUGCACAUAUAGCAUUGUUAGUUAUGGUGUUCUCGAACAGUUUCUUAUCAUCCGUCAAUGGCGUUUAUGUUUUGGGUAAUUACAGGACCCGUCUUGAAACACGGACCAAGGAGUCUAGCAUGUGCGCAAGUCAUUGGGAUAUAAAACCUAAAGGCGUAAUGAAAGUGAAAUGUUUGGAUAUAUAUUUUAAAUUUAUUUAAAAUAUUAUUAUAUAUGAGGGAAGAUGGGUAACGGUAUAAUAUAUAUAUAUGUUACCUCGCAUUCCCGGGGCGUCGCGUACUCAUUGCGAGUUGCGGCGCACCAAGAGCGUACACGCUGGG